GGUGCGGACAGGAUGGCCGUUCGAUGGGUUCGCUCUCUAUAAUUAUUGACUGAUUAUGUUCUUACCCCGAUCCUAUUGACGGAAUUACACACAAAUAAUUUUAUUAAUUCCAUAGUAUCAGCUGAACUAAGGGAAGAAACAAGAGAGUCCAGACUGUAGAGCUGGUGGCGGUGGUUUCGUUCUGGUGUUUGUGCUGGCCUGUGUGGUGCGUGAGUCCUCCGCCCUGAUCCCUGUCUGUGAGGAUGAGAGGAGUCGUGGCCGAGGUAUGAGCGACUAGUGUGUACAACUCAGGGGAUGUGCCCGUGUCUGAAGGUGCUGUGUGAAGGAUUGCUGGCGUGUUGUGGUUGUGGGGGAGGACACCACAGCUCCAGACAGUGACGUUCAUCAGCAGCCACACCUCAGCAGCGGGUCCACCGAAGAAAUUAAUGGAGAAGGACAAGAGACUGAUUGAAUAAAGAAAGUGAGGAAUUACAGAGCCAGAAGAAAGGUUGGAGAGGACGGGUCAACAACAGCCCACGUCCAUCACCACAACUCACUGUGGGGAGACGAGACGACCACUAGUAAAUAAAGGUGCUGUCAGGAU